GGAUCUUUGGCUGAGUUGGUCGAUAGCACCGGUCUUGAAAACCGGCGAGGGUAACACCUCCCAGAGUUCGAAUCUCUGAGGGUCCACCA
rnacentral:tRNA from 1 species